AGUGAACGCUGGCGGUAGGCAUAACACAUGCAAGUCGAACGGCAGCACAGUAAGAGCUUGCUCUUACGGGUGGCGAGUGGCGGACGGGUGAGGAAUACAUCGGAAUCUACUUUUUCGUGGGGGAUAACGUAGGGAAACUUACGCUAAUACCGCAUACGACCUACGGGUGAAAGCAGGGGAUCUUCGGACCUUGCGCGAUUGAAUGAGCCGAUGUCGGAUUAGCUAGUUGGCGGGGUAAAGGCCCACCAAGGCGACGAUCCGUAGCUGGUCUGAGAGGAUGAUGAGCCACACUGGAACAGAGCCAGCGUCCGGACUCCUACGGGAGGCAGCAGUGGGGAAUAUUGGACAAUGGGCGCGAGCCUGAUCCAGCCAUACCGCGUAGGUGAAGAAGGCCUUCGGGUUUUAAAGCCCUUUUGUUGGGAAAGAAAAGCAGCAGGUUAAUACCCCGCUGUUCUGACGGUACCCAAAGAAUAAGCACCGGCUAACUUCGUG
rnacentral:rRNA from 1 species